GAUUUCUUUUCCACUGUGUCCUUCUGAGCAGAGUUAGUUGGUAUUCCGCACUCAUUCCGAUAUCAUCAAUCAGGCUGUCGUCAACGUGAUCCUACGUGACCACCUCGAAGAGGAACAACAUGGAUUUCCCCCGUAGUUUGCAAACACAAUGGCACUUUGAUCCAGAAGAUGGGAAACAGAGAAGAAUCAGAUACGAGAAGGAAAAUGGUCGUCAUGGAGAGA